GAAAGUUAAUUAGCUAGCUACCGAGACAUUAGCAUGCUAUUAGCGAUUUUUUUUAUGCUUGUUACGAAGAAAACAACCAUAAUACAUUAAAACGACAUUAAGAUAAUGCAUUAAGAUAAUGCAAUUUUUAACGGAGAAAAUACUUACAUUUGUGGAUUUCUUUGGUUGCUUGUGCAGCCAUCCUGCCGGUUUUUCUGUUUUUUUCUGUUUGGAGUGAGCCUCUGAAAAACCUCCGUUUGGAGGGAAUGCGCAAAACUAAGGGCUAAGUGGCAGGGCUGAAAUGGGAUCGGGCCUAAGUGAAGUGGAGCUCAAGGUGUGUUUUAAGAGCUAUCAGCAUAAAUGCAUGCGUCUCUCUCAUGUUUUUUAAUGUUGUUGUUGUUUUGUUUUUUUUAAAAACAUUCAAAAACUCACCUUUUCUUUUUGUUGCCAUGUAAUAUCAUAACCUUGGUAAUUGGAAGAAAGUAGUCAGGUCUGGCUGUUGGGGCCACUCCCUCAGAUAAUGAGGACAGUGAACUUGACACUAGUGAAAUUGAGCAAAUAACAUGGCCUGAACUUUUGGCAAGAAAAUAUCUAUCUGCACAUUGUUUGAAAGAUGCACGCACACAUUAAAGCAAGAAAGCACACAAUGUAGGAACUGUGUAAUACAAGCCCAACUCCAAAAAAAGAAAUUUAUAAAAUCUACCUUGACCUAGAUUAGCAUAAAAACGGUACAAAGACAAGAUUUAUAGGGAUGCAUUGACACUAUUUCUGACUGAGUAUGAGUACAUGUUUUUGAGUCCGAUAUCAUAAUGAAUUACCUACAUAGAAUUAAGUAGUUUUUAGUGUAAAUGAGUAUUUUAACAAUUAAAUAAUUCAAAUCUAGCUGAUUUUAAAUUAUGUGCAUAUUAAUGUUUGUAGUUUUUUAAUUUAUUCAUUCCAUUCUGUCCAUUUAUUAUUUUUUCACCUUUUUGCAAGCCUAUGUGACAUUCAGCAUAAAAUCACCUAUUGAAUUUGUGGCUAAAAUGACCAGCAACUUCGGAUCUGACUGACCACUGUGUCAGAAACAGUUCUCUGAGAGCAGACCCUCAUUCACUUUUAGCUUGAGGGCGUUUUCACACCUGAAAGUCUGGGCCAAGGUAAGACCCAGGGUUUAUAUUUUUAUUACAGAGAAGUGUUUCUGUAUACGUUUGAUCUGGUUAGUUUCGGUUUCUCGUUGCAAUUUUGCGAGCGCACUAAGAACUUUGCGUGACAAAGCUAUGUCCUGCCAUCAUCUAUGUAGGCUGCGUCUCCCUAUACUUAACAUUGAUUGGUUUAUAGAGGAGCGCACGUCUGAUGAUGGCAUGUAAUCAAUCCGGUGGGUAGCCUUUUCCAUUUGAAUGGAGAAACAUGAAUACCUUUCCUCUCUCAUCUCUCUCAUCCUCUCAGAAAAUAAGGUAGAAGUUUCGGCAUUUUCAUGCAUUUUUUCAAGCUGACUUUUGGCUUAUUUGUCGGACCGAGCUACAACUACAAUCAAAUAUUUGGUCUCCUCCUCUCCCCAUGUACUACCACAGCUCAUUUUACUUCUUUUUCGGUUCUUUUUCUUAUUCUGUUGUUUAUUGGGUUCCCGGACCAAGACCACCCCUGAUCGAACUUGAACAGGUGAUCAUGCUUGGGUAUAAAAGGAGCAUCCAGACAUGACUUAGUGCUUUAUAAGCAAGGAAAAUAACCAUCCUCAGCAAGGAUUUUGUUUAUUUCACCAUCGGCAGUGCAUAAUGUCAUCAAAAGACUCCAGAGGAAUCUUGGGCAAAGGAAAAAUAACAAAUGAAUGCCCAAGACCUUCGAUCCUUCAGGUAGCACUACAUAAAUAAACGGCAAGCGGACUGUCGCCUGUAGAUUUUGCGCCAUGUUCUGUUGGCACUAGUUGGCUCCAGUAAGAGUGGUUUUGGUCAGUUCAGCAAUUUGAAUCAGUGUCUGCAGCCGGUGGUAAGACAGUUCACUGAUUGACUUGUAAGCCUAGCAAAUCAGUGCACGAGUAGAGAAGCAAAAAGUGCAAGCAAACGAUAAUCUUGAGAGGUCACACAAAACAUAUUCAUUUUUCAAUGUCUGUGCAAGUAGCUUUUCAAGUGCAAGUUUCACCACCCAGGAUAGGCAUUUUAGCCAUUUUUGCUUUGUUAAAACAAACAGUAUGUGAAUAUCCUAUUUCCAGUUACAGUAUUGUUUAAAUUAGAAAUAACCCUGGACACACAAGCUCUUAAUUUUCACAGAGUGAACACAGUAACAUACAGCACAGUAGGGAUGAACCGAUCAGUGUUUUUGGGGCCUGUGUCAAUCGCUGAUCGCCUUUCAGCACUAUUGGCCAAUAGCGUUUUGUGAUCGAAGGCAGGGCUGCAGAAAGAUUGUUUAUACUUGAACUCAACAGUAAAACAAAUACACUCCUCCCUUCCGUGGUCCUUCAGAAACUCUGCCCCUGAAUUCAUGGAUGGAUUCUUUUUUUUUUUCCUUCAGUCUUUGUGGCCAUAAAACAAACAUUGUAUGGACAAAUGCCAUGACGUAACGUUAGAGCGAACAAUGACUUUUGUAGUCCUGCAGCAUAAGCUAAACUGAGAUUAGCACUCAGAUGCUAACGUGCUAACAGACAUUAAUCCUCAAAGCUUUCAUAACAAACAAUGUUAAUUAUAGCUCUGAACACUCAAACAGCAAAUUUACAGCAAAACUGGGCCAAAUAUGUAAUAAUAUACUUCAGGAAAAAUUAGUGAAAUAGAUGUGAUGAGGCUGAAGUUGGCUUCCUGUUCUCCAGCUUGUUGUUCAGAUUUAUCCAUUCCGCCUUAAAUGGUGCAUCAGUUACAUUCUGGCACCUGAGGCGAAAUAUGGCUCAUAUGUUGUACAUCACCGAUCAGCUCUCAGAAUCGGCUAAGGUAGAGAAAUAUUUGGGCUGAAGAAAGGCUGAUACCGAUACAUAGCUUGAUUGAUCCAUCCAUCUCUAAAGCACAGGAUGCUGUUGGAUGUGGCUGGUUUUUGUUAACCUGACUUUUUAGUUUUCUGUUUUCUGUUUCAUGUAUAUCCAUUUAUUAGACUCCUUGAGUCCUCCUCUGAGUUUUCCUGAGUUAUGUUAGCGUCCAGCUAACAGUGAUGUCCUUUUGCUUCCCUGCCCUAAGUUUAGCUUGAACCUAAAUAUUUGUAAGCCAUUCAAACAACAUUUACUUUGUACGUUGCAGUUUUACAGUGAAUCUCCAGUAAACGUUUCAGGCCUAACUUUGAAUAUUACUUGUAUCUGGUCAGCCUAGACCUUUGCAUGUUUUCUAGUUUUUCAUUUUUUAAUUCAUUUAUUUAAAAUACAGAUUACUGCCACAGUUUCACAUCACAUCAUGUAUGUACAUGUUCCAUGUAGGCUAUAAUUUUUCCAGUGUUUGAAUGCCAAUUUUCACAGAAAUCAUAAAGCGAUAGGUGGUCAGUAAUCGCUCUUAGUUGGCCUAGUUUAUUUACCGUCGGCUCGGUCUGUGCUCUUACAACACAGGGCAAGGUUGAAAUAGAAAAGGAGGGGAUGGAUUUGGUAGAAUUCUCUGCCAAAACUGGGAGAAUUUGGAGGAUUUGGUAGUGGUGACAUGCUGGUUCCUCUACAGGCAAGACUGUGAUGGGAAUGAAUUGAGAAGAAAUGAGCACAUGAGGCUGUACGCCUUCAAAUCCCAGAUGGAGCAAGGCCUGUGCAAGAGCAGCAGGGGACGCCCUGCUUCAGUCCCAAUCCCAGACAUUCGGAUGGACUGCACAUCACACUGGCCGGCCAUGACUGGCAAGAAAGGAAGAUGCAGAGUUCCUGGGUGCAAAGGCAUUCCAAGGGUUUUGUGCAUGAAAUGUAACGCACACCUUUGUUUCACCAGGCAAAGCAACUGUUUUCUGAAAUUUCACACAGAAUACUGCUGAAUGCUGAGCUGGACUUUGUACAGCAAGUCAUACCUAAUGACGCUUAUUUUAACUUAUUUCCUUAUUCUGUUUUUGCUGUUAGUUAUAGGGUCCUGCAUGAAUUCAGUAUUGACUGUUAAGUGAAGAACAGUGUUGAUCAUUUCGACUGACAGAUUUUUGCACUUUUGUUUCCUCUCUUGAUUUUAUAUUGGGUGGGAUUACAUUGGAAGAAAUUGACAUUUUUCCCAAACCACCCCAUACAAACCAUAGUGUAUUUCGUUUAAUCUAAAUGACCACCACUAUGCUAGCUAGCUAGCAUUUUCUACAUUUUGUAGACUGUACCAUUUGCAAUUUUAUUAAAUAACUGCAUCCCUUCAUUUGUCACCUUUUUGUGGCGAUACAGAGUCGAAGGCCGUGGACAAAUCCAAUGCUGCUUUAAUGAUUUGUCACCUAUGGUGGCCGCCUAUUCACAGGACUAUAAUUUAGCAAAUGCUAAUGGUGUUUUACACCUCUUUUAAAGUGUCCUUCAACUAUUUGGUUGAACUUGAGACAAUUACAUUGUGUUUUCCACACAUUUUGUGAUGUUUUGUGAUUUUUGUAAUUUAUUUUGCAUGUACUGAUGAAAUAAAUUAUUAAGAAAUGUAUACGUUUUCUCUGUGAUUUCAGAACGCCUGUGGCACAGUGUUGCCCCGAGGCAACAAACUGUUUAACAUUGUAUCCUAAAUGAGGGAAAAAGGGAUUAUUUUCAACCCCAAAAUAUGUGUACUGGAGUGUUUCUUUUCCUAAACAAUACAUUUAACGUUCACAAAGUUUAAUACAUUCUGUCUCUUCAGUUUAGUCUGAAGCAUGCCUAAAUGUCAAUGUAAACUUGUUGCUUAAUUGCCUGUAUAGCCCUGAACCAUUAAUUCCUCAGUGUAUAAUCAAAGUUAGAAGUAGUACUAUUAGUAAACAUUGUUAUUCUAAUAAAUUCUUAUAAUCAGAAUGGAAUUUUUCCUGCUCAGGAAAGUUUAUUGAUUAACUGUUAUGUACACUUUGUAAUUUCCAAGCAACGUACUUGAAAUGUAAUUGAAAUUUAAUGUAAACGUAAAAAUGAACCUGAAUGGACUCGGGAGUGUCGCAGGAUACAAAGUACCAUUCUUAUUGGCUAGUAAUUAGAGAGGAGAGCAGCCUGUCAAUUGUGUCAUCAGCAAAACAUGAAGAGGAAGCUGUGAGCUCCAUCUCCCACAUGUAAGAUAUAAUUCUCAUUUCAUUUAUUCAUUACUUUUUGUGAAAGUGAAUGAAACUUGUUGUGGCUGUAUAUACAUAUUUCCUUAACGACUUUGUUAUAAAUUGUCCAUUGACGGUCUUUGUGGUGCCAUUUGUGGACUAUUUCACACAUAAUCUAUACAGAUAUUCUCUUAUUAUUUGAUUAUAUCACUGUAUGUGAUUAAUUAUUAUUUAUUUUAUAGAUUUCAGUUUUCACACCAAAUUUGGGGCUGCUCGCAUCAGCUCAAAAUUUCAGGGCUGGGUCAAGGAGCAUCUAAUAGACUACAGCUUAACCCACAGUCUUCAAAGCUCCAAAUUCUAGGAUGCAGAUUCAUGUAUUGACAGUCCAGAAAUGCAGUCUAAAUAAAGAAGACUGAAAAAGGACUGAGAACGACUGCUAUGCUAAAUGACCCCGCAGAUUACUGAUGAUGAAGGCCAAGAUUAUGAAUUUGAGAUGGCAUGGUGAUAAAUAAAUCCCUGUUAAGAGGAGAAAGACAUUAAGCAAUGUUGCUGAGUAAAUUACGUCAGCCCACACUUUAAAUCUCAUGCUUAUGUUUUUUGUACACUUCACAAAUGCAAAGAGAAACUCGAAUUAGCAUGAUGUUCAUUCUAAACAUCUUCGGACCAUCAUUAUUUUCUGAAACUAAGCAAUCAAACUGUGUGUCCUUUGUUUACUUUUCAUGUUUGCAUGCUGGAAAAAUAUGAACGCUUGUUAGUCAAAUGCAUUUCAGGUGGUGUGUAAAAUGCAAAUCAGCUCAUAACACUAUUUUCCUGCUUGCUGAUGGUGUUCUUUAAUUCCGUUGUUCCGUUGCCACCUCGAAAAAUGCAGUUUUUAAUGGUGAACAAUUUUGAAUUUUCAACUUUGGCAGUCCACAUUUUGCUUUAAUUUGUAAUGUGUCAUGGACACUACAAAACUUUAAAAAUCUCAGAAUCGCUGCACUUCUGACACGCAUUUUAACACUUGCGACCCUGCUGUUUGUCGAUGUUACGGUGUGCAUGAACAAUACAUGAGCAACCACAGACUGAAUACAGACCAAGAGAGAUCUGUGAUAAAUCUCUUUUGACCCCAAAAUCUCUGUCUCUCAGAAAUAAGCAUGAGAAUUUUCCACGAUUGUGCCAAACUGAAGUUGGAGAAACUUAAUGUGUGUUUGCACUAAUUUGUGCAGAAGAUAGGAUCAUUUUCAAGCAAGGAUUCGAAGGACUGUUUUCAAGGUCCACAAAGAGGCGUUCACCAGCACAGAGGAGAAAGUAGUCAUGAAUGUUCAAGUCUAACUGUUGCAGACUGCCUCACUCCCUGACCAUUUUCUUGCACUCUCAGUGGGUCAGCUAAUUGCUACUAUUUGUUGUUGAGGUGCUAACAAUACAUGAUUCAUCUGUGAACAUUUCACACCACUAACAACAGUGCCACUUACAGCAAAGAGUACUAGCAUUAAGGAAGCAUGUUUUCAUUAAUUUUAUUAAUUAAAAUGUAAAUAUUAUCUGAUACUGGUGUACUAGUCUGGAAAAUAUCAUAUUCAAUUUGAUUCAUUCUGCCCAGCACUACACACUCAAAUGCACAUGUGCACAUCAAGGAUCAGUAUCUUUUUCCAUAUCCUAAAUCUUGUUUUGAAUAACACAGAAAUUACACUUCAACACAUCAUUCCUUAAGCGUGUGUGUGUAAUUACUGGUGGGCUUUGAAAAGUCUCUGUGGCUCUUUAUUCCCCUGUAAUCACACACACCCACAGUCCAAACCACCUGAGACUCCUCAACCCUCUCCCAGCUUCUGCUGGUGUUUAGACUUGUGUUUAGGCUCACUGAGGUCAGAGGUUAAUUGCUGUCAGACCUGGCGGUACGCACGCAGUGCUACUGCAGCAACAGUGUAAAAACUCCAUGUAGGCUUACAGACUCUACAAUUGUGGCUGCACAAUAUAAUGCUUACUAAUCAUUGAAAUAUUAGCUUUUGCAAUAAUACAUCCUGACUAGGGCUUGAACAAUAUAUUGGUUUCCCGAUAAUAUCUGCUGAUGUUGAGGCCCCACAGACAGGGGUAGACAGAUUUGCACUGGCCACUUGAGCCACAAAGUCAAUGAAACUUGUGUUGUGUCAAAAUGAAGAACUUGUGACCAGAAUAAUGGAAACACAGAGAAAAAAGGAAUGAAUUUUUAAAAAAGACCUCACAUUUAAUUGCCUAUUUACUAUAAUAUGAACCUACAUACCAAACUGGUUAUUGGCUACCAGAGACUUACCUUUUGCAGUACUAGGAGUGUAGAUGACUGGGGUAAAUAGUUCCAGACUGCAAUUUUCUCAAUGCUUUUUCAACCUUGUUUUCUUUUCCAUUGUCAAGUUUGCUGUUUAUCUAGCUCACUAUAGCUUUUCUGGAGUGUAUGCUAGGGACUGGAAUAGCUCAGUGAAGUUUCUGCAAUCUACAGAAACUGUUUAGCAGUGAUGCAGCGUUUACAUGUUUGUGCUUAAAAGAAGCGUCAUCAUUUUGUGCCUUAUUGCAUAGUCGGUUUAAAACUGCAAAGUUAUGUAGUUGAUGGUAGCAUGCAGCUUUGCAAAUAUUGCCAUGGUCAUAGGGGUUGCCAAAGGAGAGAUUUGAUGCUCACUUUUAUUUGUUUAACAUGGGGAAACAAAGGGACAACGUUGCAAGAACUCAGCUCCUUUGGCUUCGUCUUGUAUUAUAAGACAAUUUUUAUUGGCAUUGGAAGAUUUUUUUGGAUGUCCUUUUGAGCAGUCACAUAACUGGGGGCAGUGCCUGCCUUAGCUAUGUUCCUGCAGCAGUUGGCAAAAAAUAGACUUGAAGUUUUAAAUUGCACAUCAUGCUCACAUUGCUGCUGCUUCUUGCAUUGUAAAAGGUUACAGAGAUUGGCACAGAACUGUACUGCAGGCCUCAGUGGUGCGCUGCAGAAACAAUAUGGUUUCUUCCUUCUAGUUUAAAAUGCACUUUACUUAGCUGUGUUCUUACUAAUCAAGAUUAAAAUAAAAGGUAGGAAAAUGCAUGGUUGUGGAGUCAUAAGCGUCAUAUCCAAAAAAGGAUUUUUUUUUGUAUAUUGCUGUACAGUAGAAUGUUUGUAGCUAAUGUCUAUGAGGACAGUUGUCUCACAGAGAUGUUCUUUUACAUGUACAAAACACCCCCAAACCUUAAUGCCUGGUGCCACUUGCUGGCUACUUAGGUCUGACAGGCAGUGUACCUGGACCUGUGCUUGUCCAAUAAACAUCUGUUAUUACAUUCUAUAUUGCAGAGUAGGAAUGCAGUACACUUGCCAGUGUGGUAAGACAUUUUCUUAAUUUCUGUAAAAUUUGUGCUCUCUUCAGAGUCCCAUCGUUUCAUUCGGUCACAUCAUAACCUGUCAAAAAACAAUCGUAUAGUUUUACUUAAGGUUGCAGAGAAAAAUUUGUGUAAAUACUGAUAAGAAAUUAACCAUUGCUGAACUGUCGUUUUAAAUAUGAAGAGUGGCUGUUAAAGGGUUAAAAUUUGCCAAAACUGCUCUCAUCAUUUUGAAGUAAAUGUAUGUGUUUGCAACCCCUUUUGC